rnacentral:rRNA from 1 species
CCUACGGGAGGCUGCAGUGAGGCAUAUUGGUCAAUGGGCGCGAGCCUGAACCAGCCACGUCGCGUGAGGGAAGACGGUCCUCUGGAUUGUACACCUCUUUUGUCGGGGAGCAAAAGACGCCACGCGUGGCGUUCCGCGAGUACCCGAAGAUAAAGCAUCGGCUAACUCCGUGCCAGCAGCCGCGGUAAUCCGGAGGAUGCGAGCGUUAUCCGGAUUUAUUGGGGUAAAAGGGUGCGCAGGCGGACGAUCAAGUCAGCGGUAAAGUUGAGAGGCUAAACCUCUUCGAGCUGUUGAAACGGGUUUGCUUGAGUGAGCGAGAAGUAUGCGGAAUGCGUGGGGUAGCGGUGAAAUGCAUAGAUAUCACGCAGAACUCCGAUUGCGAAGGCAGCAUACCGGCGCUCAACUGACGCUCAUGCACGAAAGUGUGGGUAGCGAACAGGAUUAGAUACCCGGGUAGUC